ensembl:ncRNA C08G9.9 ncRNA
UCCAGGGGAAAGUGAUAAGGUUAUUGAAUCUACAUCUGUAUGCAAACAACUCUUUUUCUCUAGUUAUUCAUACUCUACAACAGUUUUCUGUACACUGCACCAGAGGAAGAAAUAGUAUAGAAUGAGGAAGAGAUUCAGACAGACAA